GGCCCGGAGGAGGAGGAAGCCCUGGAGGGGCUGGAGGUGAUGGACGUGUUCCUCCGCUUCUCAGGGCUCCACCUCUUCCGCGCC
rfam:Erinaceus europaeus unplaced genomic scaffold scaffold00959, whole genome shotgun sequence